rfam:Nicotiana sylvestris Nsyl_contig178484, whole genome shotgun sequence.
GCCUUCUUAGCUCAGUGGUAGAGCGCGUGGCUUUUAACCACGUGGUCGUGGGUUCGAUCUCCACAGACGGCG